rnacentral:rRNA from 1 species
AUGUACAUUCUUACAUCAUAGCGUUAAUGCACCAGAUCCCAUUAUAACUUCGUAGUUAAGCACGCUCGGGAUAGAGUAGUACUAGGAUGGGUGACCACCUGGUAAGUCCUAGUAUUUUACAUG